rnacentral:rRNA from 1 species
UACGAAGGGGGCGAGCGUUGUUCGGAUUUACUGGGCGUAAAGGGCGCGCAGGCGGCCAUUUUUGUCAGGCGUGAAAGCCCCGGGCUCAACCUGGGAACGGCGCCUGGGACGGGAUGGCUGGAGACCGGGAGAGGAGAGUGGAAUUCCCAGUGUAGAGGUGAAAUUCGUAGAUAUUGGGAAGAACACCGGUGGCGAAGGCGGCUCUCUGGACCGAUACUGACGCUGAGGAGCGAAAGCGUGGGGAGCGAACAGG